rnacentral:rRNA from 1 species
UACGUAGGGUGCAAGCGUUAAUCGGAAUCACUGGGCGUAAAGCGCACGUAGGCGGAUCUUUAAGUCAGGGGUGAAAUCCUGGAGCUCAACUCCAGAACUGCCCUUGAUACUGGGGAUCUUGAGUCCGGAAGAGGUGAGUGGAACUCCGAGUGUAGAGGUGAAAUUCGUAGAUAUUAGGAAGAACACCAGUGGCGAAGGCGGCUCACUGGUCCGGUACUGACGCUGAGGUGCGAAAGCGUGGGGAGCAAACAGG